CUUGAAAGGUUGUGAAUUAAUUGGCACUUCAGGAAGGAGAUCAAAAGUGUAUUGGAUGAAACGUACAGGGUGAGGACUGAGGAGGAUAUAUUCUUAGAUACUGCCCCCUGCGCAAUGGCGUUUCGGGUACUACGUGUUAAUGGAUAUGAUGUUUCUUCAGAUCCAUUUACCUGACUUUCAGAAGAUCAUUUCUCCAGUUCCCCUGGAGGAUAUGUGAAGACAUUGGUGCUAUCUUGGGAUUAUUUAGGGCGUCUGAAAUCAUCGUACAUUCUGAUGAAUUUGUUCUGGAGAAACAAACUUUCUGGACCCGUCAUUUUCUGAUAUAAGAAUUAUCCAAUGGUUCAAUUCAUGCAGAUAGAUGAAAUAUAUAUGUUGGCCAACAGGUGGACGAUGCUCUUAAGUUUCCUUACCAUGCAAAUAUGGAUCGUCUAUCAAACAGGAGAGCCUUUGAGCAUUGUAAUAAAAGAAAUACAAGGAUUUUAAAAACUGCAUAUAGGUAAACCUAUGGUGGUUUUGUCCUUCAUUCUUUAAUUUAUGGAAUAUGGAGAUUUUAAUUCUGCUAAAGAAUUAGCCAUUUUUAGUGGAAUAUUUUAUUUAUCCUUGUUUUCUUCUUAUGUCAGUUCUUUAAAUACUGGCAAUGAAGAUUUCCUAAAACCGGCAGUACAAGACUUCAACAUGUGCAUAUCUUUGUGUAGUUUCAACUAUCUUGAUAUCAUGACUGGCAUUUUCUUGAAAUUUUUAUUAUAGCAGGGUCAAAGGUUGGCACGUGUAACAGGAUAAGUUGGCAUACUGAACUAGAAGCAACUCCAUUUGAUGGCAAAAAAUCAUUUUAAUCUGGAAUCACUGGUUUUCCUUGUUACUAGUGGAUAGUGGUUGUUACUUGACCAUGGUGUCAAGAAAAAAUCAAUUAAAUUGUUGGUCAUUGAGAUAUCUUCUUGCUUUAAAUAAUGCAAGGAAGUGUAAGCCGGUGGGUUAUAGUUUUAUAGAGAGCAGAUUAGACAAGCUAAAGCCUACUGUUACUUCUCUGUUGCAGCAACCUUUUCUUCCCUGAACUUCUGAUCCUCAAAAAAAUAAAACAAAAAUCAGUCCUGCAUUUUUUAUUGAUGAAGCUUUUUUUUUGAUAAGUUGUUAUUGAUGAAGCUAUGAACUUCUCAUUGUUGAUAAUUUGGUGAUUGACAUUGGCAUAAUCUGCUUUUGGUUGGCCAAAACGGGCCUAUCAAAAAGGGAUCCUCAAAGCAAGUAAAGGAAUGCCUUUGUCUGCAGUGUCCUUUCUCUAUUUUCACAUUAGAUAAUAUUGAUUAUAUUAAUAUAUAAAUGAAAUACAAAAAAACAUGCUAAGAAAUCUACCAUUACUUUUGGACUACUUGUAAAAUUUGAAAAUUAUUCUGUAGCAGUGUCGAUAGGUUCUCUUUUUUACCAUCCUAUGGCUGAAUAUAAAACCAAGGGAACGAUAAUUUUAAUACUCAGUAGAAAUUCUGUUCUCCUGAUUUAAAUUGUUUGUCUUUUCAUAAUAUACACAAAAUGUGGUUUGAAUAGUGUAGUCCGCCGUUGAGAUUCUGAAGAUAACAUUUUCAUGUCAAUGAAGUUGCAAAUAUCAACUCUGGUGAAGAACAUAUUUUACAGAAUUUAGACCU